GGUCGGGUGGGCGAGUGGUUAGACAAGGGUAUGCAACACCUUUCACAGUAGUUCAAAUCCAUUCCCGACCUCCA
rnacentral:tRNA from 1 species